rnacentral:rRNA from 1 species
AUUGAACGCUGGCGGCAGGCCUAACACAUGCAAGUCGAGCGGAUGAAGGGAGCUUGCUCCUGGAUUCAGCGGCGGACGGGUGAGUAAUGCCUAGGAAUCUGCCUGGUAGUGGGGGAUAACGUCCGGAAACGGGCGCUAAUACCGCAUACGUCCUGAGGGAGAAAGUGGGGGAUCUUCGGACCUCACGCUAUCAGAUGAGCCUAGGUCGGAUUAGCUAGUUGGUGGGGUAAAGGCCUACCAAGGCGACGAUCCGUAACUGGUCUGAGAGGAUGAUCAGUCACACUGGAACUUAGACACGGUCCAGACUCCUACGGGAGGCAGCAGUGGGGAAUAUUGGACAAUGGGCGAAAGCCUGAUCCAGCCAUGCCGCGUGCGUGAAGAAGGUCUUCGGAUUGUAAAGCACUUUAAGUUGGGAGGAAGGGCAGUAAGUUAAUACCUUGCUGUUUUGACGUUACCAACAGAAUAAGCACCGGCUAACUUCGUG